CUACCCGCUGAACUUAAGCAUAUCAAUA
rnacentral:rRNA from 1 species